GCCGAGUGAGGGAUAGCUCAUUCGGUACAGCACGAGACUCUUAAUCUCAGGGUUGUGGGUUUGAGCCCCACGUUGGGCA